rnacentral:rRNA from 1 species
CCUACGGGAGGCAGCAGUGGGGAAUUUUGGACAAUGGGCGAAAGCCUGAUCCAGCAAUGCCGCGUGAGUGAAGAAGGCCUUCGGGUUGUAAAGCUCUUUUGUCAGGGAAGAAACGGUGAGAGCUAAUAUCUCUUGCUAAUGACGGUACCUGAAGAAUAAGCACCGGCUAACUACGUGCCAGCAGCCGCGGUAAUACGUAGGGUGCAAGCGUUAAUCGGAAUUACUGGGCGUAAAGCGUGCGCAGGCGGUUUUGUAAGUCUGAUGUGAAAUCCCCGGGCUCAACCUGGGAAUUGCAUUGGAGACUGCAAGGCUAGAAUCUGGCAGAGGGGGGUUAGAAUUCCACGUGUAGCAGUGAAAUGCGUAGAUAUGUGGAGGAACACCGAUGGCGAAGGCAGCCCCCUGGGUCAAGAUUGACGCUCAUGCACGAAACGACGGUGGGGUAGGACGAAACGAAGGAGUUAGUAUACCCGUACGGUACGUACCGACCGACCCGUAACCGUAACGUAGUCUACUAGUUGUUCGGGUUCGUUACUUAGUACGUUGGUUACGACGA